rnacentral:rRNA from 1 species
GACGAACGCUGGCGGCGUGCUUAACACAUGCAAGUCGAACGAGAAUCACUGGAAGGAGUUUUCGGACAACGGAAGGUGAGGACAGUGGCGGACGGGUGAGUAACGCGUGAGGAACCUGCCUUUCAGAGGGGGACAACAGUUGGAAACGACUGCUAAUACCGCAUGACACAUAGAGAUCGCAUGGUUUUUAUGUCAAAGAUUUAUCGCUGAAAGAUGGCCUCGCGUCUGAUUAGCUAGUUGGUGAGGUAACGGCCCACCAAGGCGACGAUCAGUAGCCGGACUGAGAGGUUGACCGGCCACAUUGGGACUGAGAUACGGCCCAGACUCCUACGGGAGGCAGCAGUGGGGAAUAUUGGGCAAUGGGCGCAAGCCUGACCCAGCAACGCCGCGUGAAGGAAGAAGGCUUUCGGGUUGUAAACUUCUUUUGUCGGGGACGAGUAGAAGACGGUACCUGGCGAAUAAGCCACGGCUAACUACGUG